rnacentral:misc_RNA from 1 species
GCUCUCGACAGACGGCCAUCUGCGCGGGUCUCAGACGGGCGACAUUUACAUCGCGGCGCCUGUUAUCAACCUAACGACCAAAACCCGCAGCUGGAGCAAAUAACAUCUGCUCCCAUUUAAAGUAACUGUUUUUAUAUAAGUAAAUCAAGAAUUCCACCAAACAUGUCCUACAGAAGCAGCCGCAGGUCUCGCUCCCGUUCUCGUUCUCGCUCUCGCGACCGUGGUCGACGCGAUAGGGAUGACUGGGGCCGAGGUGGAGGGUAUGGUGGCAGCGGUGGAGGUGGGAGGCCGUCGCUGAAGGGAAGGCAGCCGGGAGAACGCCUACGGAAGCCAAAGUGGGACCUGUCCAGACUUGCCCCCUUCGAGAAGAACUUUUACCAGCCCACACCUGUUGUUGUUAACCGACAGCCCUAUGAAGUGGAACAAUACAGAAAUGAGAAGGAAAUCACACUUAGAGGAAAGAACAUUCCCAACCCCAUUCAGUUCUUCACUGACUACAAUUUCCCAGACUAUGUAAUGGCUGAAAUCCGUCGACAGGGCUAUGAAGCACCUACACCUAUUCAGGCACAAGGCUGGCCUAUUUCAUUACAAGGAAGGGAUUUUGUUGGUAUUGCACAGACUGGCUCAGGAAAGACCCUGGGUUACAUUCUACCAGCCAUCGUUCACAUCAAUCACCAACCAUAUUUGGAACGGGGAGAUGGCCCUAUUGCACUCAUUUUGGCUCCCACAAGAGAACUUGCCCAACAGAUCCUUACAGUUGCACAAGAUUUUGGUUCAUCUUCAAAGAUCCGCUCCACGUGUGUGUUCGGUGGUGCACCCAAAGGACCACAGAUUCGUGACUUGGAACGAGGGGUUGAGAUCUGUAUUGCCACACCAGGACGUCUCAUUGAUUUCUUAGAAGCAGGAAAAACCAACCUUCGCCGUUGUACAUAUUUAGUACUUGAUGAAGCAGACCGCAUGCUGGACAUGGGCUUUGAACCACAAAUCAGAAAAAUUGUAGAGCAGAUUCGGCCUGACCGACAAACUCUUAUGUGGUCUGCAACUUGGCCCAAAGAGGUGAGGAAUCUUGCCGAAGAUUUCUUAAAAGAAUACAUUCAGCUUAAUGUAGGCUCCCUAUCCCUCGCAGCCAACCACAACAUCCUCCAGAUCGUAGAUGUUUGUCAAGAGAUGGAAAAAGAUACAAAGCUGCGCCAGUUGCUCAAUGAGAUGGCGCAAGAGAGGGCUUACAAGACAAUAAUCUUUAUCGAAACGAAGCGGAAGGUGGAGGAUGUUACUCGUGGGUUGAGGAGUACUGGGUGGCCAGCAAUGUGUAUCCAUGGAGACAAAUCUCAACAAGAGAGAGACUGGGUUUUAAGUGAAUUCCGUUCAGGGAGGGCACCAAUUUUGGUAGCCACAGACGUUGCUGCUCGUGGGUUAGAGGCACUCAAAGCGAGAUAAUGCACGGAGGAUGUUUCGUUGCAUUAGGCUCCGGUGCCUCUGAGACUCGUCGUGCAUCACGAGCACGAAUACGCAUUGGCGACAAGUGUCCACUGGUGCCGGAAAGGUGGUCACGUUGCCCUGGCCAUCAGUUGUGGCAGAGGUCAACGAUGACCAGCGAUAGCGGCCGCCUGCAGCCUGUGUCGGUCCAGAACGACCCACUCUGAUGUGGAUGAUGUGAAGUUCGUGAUCAACUACGACUACCCAUCUUGCUCUGAGGAUUACGUUCACCGAAUUGGGCGAACUGGACGCUCAGACAAGACAGGAACUGCGUACACAUUCUUCACGGCAGAC